ensembl:lncRNA uncharacterized LOC115614991
CUCUUGCUCCGGCGUGACUGAGGGCCUCCGGGAGACCUGAUGCCGCAGGGUCAGGCGUGCGAGGAGAGCAGUUUCCUUGUUUACUCUGCCAUGCAUGAGCCUCUGGCAAGGGGGAAUGGGUGUUGCAAAGGCAGAGGGGCUGCUGAGCCUCUGGAAGACCCGAUGUGGUGGCUGUAGCUGGCAGUGACGAAUUGUGUGAUGAGCACAGUUGCCUGGUGUGCUCCAACAUGCUGAAUCUAGCAAGUAAGGAUGGGUGCUGCAAAGGCAGAGAGUGCCUUGAACCUCCUGGAUGCCAGAUGUGGUGGCUGUAGAUGGCAGCAAUGAAGUGUGUCAUGAGGGCAGUUGCCUGGUUUGCUCCACCAUGGCUGAACCGCUAGCAAGUAGGGAUGGGUGCUGAGAAGGCAGAAGGUGUGUUGAACCUCCUGGAGACCAGAUGUGGUGGCUGUAGCUGGCAGCGAUGAAUUGUGUGAUGAGUUGCCUGGUUUACUUCACCACAUGUGACCCUGCAGCAGGGGGAUUGAAUGGUAAGUCUUUGAUCACCUAUGUUCACUGGUUUAAAUAAAAAUAAAGGUGGGGGGGAGGGCUUCUCACAAUGUAAUUGAUUGCCUUUUAAUGCUCAGCUGAAGAGCAUCUGUCAUAAUGACUUCAAGCUUUUUUGUGGGUUUUUUUUACCCCACCAGAUUGGCAGUGCUGAUGCAUCUUCUGUUUUGGCCAGAUCGAUUGAUGCCACAGAUGCAGGAUGCUUCAGUUCCUCAUGUGGCUGUAUAUUGAGGCUACAUGCACUUGCACCCCUAUCACAAGGAAAUACGUUGCAUGCUUUGAGGGUCGGCAGCACUGGAGGGUACUGUCUGCACAUAUAGUAACACUGAUUGUAUAACGCUAUCUGACAUGCGUAAAAGAGGAUCAAAAGUGGAAGAAUUCUUUCAAAAGAUCUUAAGUAAAUGGCAGAGAGCUCUGACAGGCUUCAGUUUAACUUUAAGGGCACAGCUUUUUUGCCCCAUUUAAGCAGUGUUUAAAUGAGUUGCUUCGUACAGAGAUCCAGGGAGCUUUUCUUGAUGUAUUCCCCUUGCCUCCUUCAGUAGAAGAUUCUCAAUGCCUUGCAGAAGCAUGGAUGAAAAUCAGCUUCCAGCAGUGCGUCUAUUUGCAGCAGGAGGAUUGCUUUUGGUGUUUUUCUUUGUUUCAGUUUUUGUUAUUGUUUUCUUUUUAAUAGAAGAUCAAUGAUGUGACAUCUGAAAACUUAGCUGUUUGAUUAGGAUUUCACUAAUGCUCUAGAAAAUGUGCUUAACAGAACUUCCCUUCAUUGGAUAAGCAGCUAUUGUCACUGGCUUCAUUCAGUUACAGCCUUGUAUUGCUGUUUAGGUGCCUCUUGUGCAGCUGUUGUAUCUCAAAGUCUCUUUGGUAGCCUCUGUCUAUGAAGAGUAUAAAUGUGAGCUAUAUAGCACUGUUGAAUUCAGAAGUUUUAGAGUAUGAGUGGUCUGUGUCAGGUGGUGAAGCUGGUAGAGUUGACCAGAUAUGGUACUCUGGCAUUUUCUGCUCAGCUCUCCCAGGUUUUUAUCAAGUACUAUAAAAGCUCCCACAGUUUUAAGUGUGUCCUGUUUGGGCUGCCUGGCUGUGAAGAAGUUUUUGCUGUUCCUCUGCUGAUUUUGCAGAGGAAUGCUUGCUGUCUGGUUUUGUGGGGCUAUUUGAAAGCUGUAUGUUUGCUGUUUGCAGUAGAGUGGACUGACAAAAUGUUGGCUGUUUUCUUGACAGGUUGAGAUUUGUCAGAAGUUGUCCUGGGACCUGCUGUGAUUUCAGUGCACUAGCAGAAAGCUGUCUUCUGCUAAUGAUGCCCCUCUCCAUGCUGCUGCCUGUGAUCACUUGUCCAAGCUACAGCAUUCACAUCACCCUGCCAGCAGCUCUGGUCUUUUCUCAGAGCUAGCAGGAGUGAUAAAUUGGUGUCCUGCCAACUUACAGACAGAGAGUGUUACAUUUUUCUUUCUCUUGGUAUGAGGCAUUUAACUGUCAUGGAUUCUGAAACUUGCUGCAUGUUUAAUAUAAUUGAAUGCUUUUGUCUCCAAGGGCUGCAUUUGCCACCUGACAGCUAAUGCUACCCUACCACAACCAUUAAAAGUAAGGAAGCCUUUCUUUAGAGAGCAGUUGUCAAAUUGGGGAGGAUGGCCUCAUGUGUAUGGAGGGGUGGGAUUCAAGUCUUGGCUCUCCCUUGUCAUCCAGGACACUUUAGUAAUGUAUCAUUGGCAGCCUGUAAAGCAGGGAAGGGGCACUUGGAUGCUGCAGCACAGUGUGCAUUUCUGUACUGUUUAGAACCUGUUUUUAAUAAAAUCUGAGUACUAGAUGAAUUCAG